GACGAACGCUGGCGGCGUGCUUAACACAUGCAAGUCGAACGGAAAGGCCCUGCUUUUGUGGGGUGCUCGAGUGGCGAACGGGUGAGUAACACGUGAGUAACCUGCCCUUGACUUUGGGAUAACUUCAGGAAACUGGGGCUAAUACCGGAUAGGAGCUCCUGCUGCAUGGUGGGGGUUGGAAAGUUUCGGCGGUUGGGGAUGGACUCGCGGCUUAUCAGCUUGUUGGUGGGGUAGUGGCUUACCAAGGCCUUGACGGGUAGCCGGCCUGAGAGGGUGACCGGCCACAUUGGGACUGAGAUACGGCCCAGACUCCUACGGGAGGCAGCAGUGGGGAAUAUUGCACAAUGGGCGGAAGCCUGAUGCAGCAACGCCGCGUGCGGGAUGACGGCCUUCGGGUUGUAAACCGCUUUCGCCUGCGACGAAGCGUGAGUGACGGUAAUGGGUAAAGAAGCACCGGCUAACUACGUG
rnacentral:rRNA from 1 species